GUGAAUCAUCAAAUUUUUGAACGCAAAUUGCACUCUCUUCUGAGAGUAUGCCUGUUUGAGGUUCAGCCUAAAAAAAAAUCGACAUAGUCUCUUUUUCGCGGUUACAUUCGUCGGAAAUUGGGUCAUCUUAAACCUUUUGGUUUUAAGCGGCUUAAAAUUUUCUUUACUAUUCCACGCACGUUUCUAAGAUUUACUUCUUACACCUUUAAGGUAAUCGAUCUUUAUUAGACGUGCCCGUUGCCUCGAAUCUUG
rnacentral:misc_RNA from 1 species